AUUGAACGCUGGCGGCAUGCUUUACACAUGCAAGUCGAACGGUAACAGGUUAAGCUGACGAGUGGCGAACGGGUGAGUAAUGCAUCGGAACGUGCCCGGUCGUGGGGGAUAACGCAGCGAAAGCUGCGCUAAUACCGCAUACGAUCUGAGGAUGAAAGCGGGGGACCGUAAGGCCUCGCGCGAUCGGAGCGGCCGAUGUCAGAUUAGCUAGUUGGUGGGGUAAAGGCCCACCAAGGCGACGAUCUGUAGCUGGUCUGAGAGGACGGCCAGCCACACUGGAACUGAGACACGGUCCAGACUCCUACGGGAGGCAGCAGUGGGGAAUUUUGGACAAUGGGCGCAAGCCUGAUCCAGCAAUGCCGCGUGCAGGAUGAAGGCCUUCGGGUUGUAAACUGCUUUUGUACGGAACGAAACGGCCCUUUCUAAUACAGGGGGCUAAUGACGGUACCGUAAGAAUAAGCACCGGCUAACUACGUGCCAGCCGCCGCGGUAA
rnacentral:rRNA from 1 species